rnacentral:sRNA from 1 species
UUCUAUUUACAGAUAACAGCAAGAGAGGGGAGACUACAAAGCCCAAAUUUCAUCGAACAGCCUAAAACUUUCAAGAUCAGCAAUUUGACAGCAAACAUGAACUUUGUAAUCAAACAGACUUCAAAUCAAACCUCUGCUUCCCUAACAAACACUGAAAAGAUCAAACGGGGUUAUUAAAUGCAAAGCAGCCAUCGCCUGGGAAGCAGGCAAGCCCCUUUGCAUUGAAGAGGUUGAAGUAGCUCCCCCCAAGGCUCAUGAAGUUCGCAUUCAGAUCAUUGCUACCUCCCUGUGCCAUACUGAUGCCACUGUUAUCGA